rnacentral:rRNA from 1 species
UACAGAGGUCUCAAGCGUUGUUCGGAUUCAUUGGGCGUAAAGGGUGUGUAGGUGGCGCCGUAAGUCGGGUGUGAAAUUUCGGAGCUUAACUCCGAAACUGCAUUCGAUACUGGCGUGCUUGAGGACUGGAGAGGAGACUGGAAUUUCAUGGUGUAGCAGUGAAAUGCGUAGAGAUCAUGAGGAAGACCAGUGGCGAAGGCGGGUCUCUGGACAGUUCCUGACACUGAGACACGAAGGCCAGGGGAGCAAACGGG